rnacentral:rRNA from 1 species
UACGGAGGGGGCUAGCGUUGUUCGGAAUUACUGGGCGUAAAGCGCGCGUAGGCGGAUCUGCAAGUCGGAGGUGAAAGCCCAGGGCUCAACCCUGGAAUUGCCUUCGAUACUGUUUGGCUAGAGACCGGAAGAGGUAAGUGGAACUGCGAGUGUAGAGGUGAAAUUCGUAGAUAUUCGCAAGAACACCAGUGGCGAAGGCGGCUUACUGGUCCGGUUCUGACGCUAAGGCGCGAAAGCGUGGGGAGCAAACAGG